GUGUCCUCGACGCGACCCGGAGCGGGGCCUCUACGCGGCGGAGUCCGAAUGCCAGACCUGUGGGCCGUGCCGACGUAGCGUCGCAGUCUGAAAAUUUGGAAAAUUGAAAAAAUACAAAGAAGAAAAGAAUAACCUGAGAGUCCACCACGCUCCCUCCUUUUAUGAUGGACUACACAUGGCAGAUACAUCUUAGUGAAAGCUCAUGAAACUCCUCAUGGCAAAGUCCUAGAUGUGCAAUUGCUAAAUCAAAGAUUGCAGUCACCGAUGUUUCUUAUAUACUUUUUAUUUCUUUGCAUGGUUUCCAAAAUGAGGUAAUAAAUGAAUGUUUUAACAAGG